CUAAAUAGAGACUUGUAUGAACGGUUAAAUGAGGGCCUAACUGUCUCCUGUGGCUAAUCAAUGAACUUGAGCCUACAGUACAAACACUGUAAUAUAACUAUAAGACGAGAAGACCCUGUGGAGCUUAAAGCUACUACAUUAACUUAAUACUGCGGCCAUUAUAAGCAUAAUGUAAACUUUAAGUUGGGGCGACUAUGGAGUAAAAAAAACCCUCCAUGCAACACGAUUAAAACUCGUCAUUCUAGGCCAACAAGCCUAAUCCAAAAAGACCCAGUCAAACUGACUAUCGAACCAAGUUACCCCAGGGAUAACAGCGCCAUCCCCUUAAAGAGUCCACAUCGCCAAGGGGGUUU
rnacentral:rRNA from 1 species